AACGCGAAGAACCUUACCAGGCCUUGACAUGUUAGGGAACCCGGGUGAAAGCCUGGGGUGCCCCGCGAGGGGAGCCCUAGCACAGGUGCUGCAUGGCCGUCGUCAGCUCGUGCCGUGAGGUGUUGGGUUAAGUCCCGCAACGGAGCGCAACCCCCGCCGUUAGUUGCCAGCGGUUCGGCCGGGCACUCUAACGGGACUGCCCGCGAAAGCGGGAGGAAGGAGGGGACGACGUCUGGUCAGCAUGGCCCUUACGGCCUGGGCGACACACGUGCUACAAUGCCCACUACAAAGCGAUGCCACCCGGCAACGGGGAGCUAAUCGCAAAAAGGUGGGCCCAGUUCGGAUUGGGGUCUGCAACCCGACCCCAUGAAGCCGGAAUCGCUAGUAAU
rnacentral:rRNA from 1 species